CAUUGUUAGUACUCAAGACUGAAAACCAAAAAUGGUUAGCUGGGAGCGUACAGUCCCGGGGAAAGUACAACCGAGGUGUGCCAGGGCCCAAGAUGCAUCAUGCCUCACAGGGACUCCUGCUGAUUCACUCAGAACAUGCAACAAAAGCCAAAGAAGUCCGAAAUAUAUUUCCUAACGAAUGCAGUGCUUUGUAAAGGAAAUCAGGCUAGAGCUGGUGCAUGUAACCCAGGAAUUGGAAGGCCAGGUCUGGGAAAAAAGGCAGGCAGGAGACUCUCUUGGCAUAGUGAAUUCCAGGAUUUCUUCCACCUUCCCUCCACCCAUGAAGUAUUACUUAAACUCCAAUAUGUAACACAAACAAUACAAAUAAAGCACCACAACAGCU